rnacentral:rRNA from 1 species
AUGGAUCGCAAUGUGCAGGUUUUGGUACGGUUAAGGCCAAUCAGUGCUGCCGAGAGCACUGCGUAUGGUCAAAAAAGAUGUUUGAUACAGGAUAGCUCAAAGACAUUGAGCUGGACAGGACACCCUGAAACAAAGUUCACGUUUGAUCAUGUCGCAUGUGAAACAAUAUCACAGGAAAAGCUGUUUAGGGUAGUUGGUCUACCAAUGGUGGAGAACUGCAUGUCUGGAUACAACGGCUGUUUGUUUGCCUAUGGCCAGACAGGGAGUGGCAAAACUUACACAAUGAUGGGAGAGCUUAGUAAGGAUGGCAAUGAACUUAGCAAUGAUUCUGGUUUGACGCCUCGUAUUUUCGAGUAUCUAUUCGCUCGGAUAAAGGAGGAAGAGGAAAGGCGAAGAGAGGACAAAUUGAAGUACAUCUGCAAAUGCUCUUUUCUGGAGAUAUACAAUGAGCAGAUAACUGAUCUACUUGAACCAUCAUCAACAAAUCUUCAGAUCCGUGAAGAUAUAAAGAAAGGUGUAUAUGUUGAGAACCUAAUGGAGUGUUAUGUGUCAUCUGUUAAAGAUGUUAUGUUGUUAUUAUUACAGGGGGUUGCAAAUAGGAAAAUGGCAGCUACAAAUAUGAAUAGUGAGAGCAGCCGUUCACAUAGCGUCUUCACUUGCGUCAUUGAGAGUCACUGGGAAAGGGAUUCAAUGACGCACCUCCGCUUUGGGCGUUUGAAUUUGGUUGAUCUUGCUGGUUCUGAGAGGCAGAAAAGCUCGGGCGCUGAAGGAGACCGCUUGAAAGAAGCUGCGAACAUUAACAGAUCCUUGUCAACUCUUGGGCUUGUUAUCAUGACUCUAGUGGAUGUCGCAAAUGGAAAAAGCCGCCAUGUGCCUUAUAGAGACUCAAGGCUUACAUUUCUCCUCCAGGAUUCCCUUGGAGGAAACUCUAAAACAACAAUUGUUGCCAACAUCAGCCCGUCUAUUUGUUCCUCCAAUGAGACACUGAGUACCUUGAAGUUUGCUCAGCGCGCGAAGUUGAUUCAAAACAAUGCAAAAGUAAAUGAAGAUGCUUCAGGAGGUGUUAUGGCUUUACAAAGGCAGAUAGAAGAACUAAAGGAUCAGUUGACAUGCUUGAGGAAGCAGCAAAAUGCCCCUGGAUCGCCUAGCUUUCUCCUGCUAAAUUCAGGCUCUGAUAGAGAAUACAAUACUUUAGCUGAAGAUCAUCAAUCAAGCUGUGACCUGAGUCUUCUAAAGCAAAAGGUUAGCCAUCUGGAAGAUGUUCUUGCUGGGAGCCUUAGGAGAGAGAAACUAGCUGAGGUGGAUAUCAGGAAGCUGGAGGCUGAAAUAAAGCAUUUGAAUCGUCUGGUUGACCUGAAGGAAUCUGAUUCCCAACGCUUGAGAAUGAUGCUGAAACUUCGUGACGAAAAAUUAAAAAGAUUGCAUAUGUUAGCUGAUGAUCUAGUGCCAUCGGAUGGCUAUAUGGUUGAAGAAAAUGCUGCAAUGUCCCAAGAGAUUCAGCUACUGCAAAAACAAUUUGACGAAAAUCCUCAACUGACUCAGUUUGCUUUUGAAAACAAGAGAUUAAUCGAGCAAGUUAGAACGCUUGAGAACUUCCACAAGCAAGGGGAAAGAGAGAUGUUAUUAACGGAGAUAUCUCUUUUGCGUAAUCAUUUCCUUCAUAUUCUUGAGCAGAAGUAUGCAGCACCUCCUAGGAAUUUAGAAGCACAGGGUGACGAGAUUGUCAAGGAUCUAGACAAUUGCAGGAAGGAGCUGGAUGCAUGCUUAGAAAAUAAUGUUUUGCUUGCACGUGAAGUAAAUAAGCUGCGCUGUGAACUGAAACAAUACCAGAUGUCUAGCACGCACCAAGUUGCUCCGACGGCAGAGAAGAAUUGUGGGAUUCCAGAGAUCAGUCAGAUACAACCCGAUCCAGUGGGAUGGAACUUUUCAUGUUUAACGCCCAAUGGUGCUGGAAUGUCAACUAAUAUUACGGAAUCAGUUCAACUCAAUCUUCCUUCAGAAAUUGCUAGUGGACACCAGGAAUCCUGUUCUCAUUUGUAUCAUUUCGAUUCAGAAAGAUGUGAUUUGAAUGAUUCUACAAAAGUGCCAGAGUGUAGUGAUGAAGUGUCUCAGUGCUACAGCUUGGCUCUUGGAUCUUCACAUAAUGUACUUGACAAAGACACUGUUCUUAGUGGACACGUAGAAGAUGAAGAAACAUUGCAAUUACAGCAGGAUGAGAUGGAUCAAAUACAUGAAAACGUACCAAAUAUGGGUAUAUGUUUGCAUGGUGAGACUUCAUUGUGUCAUCAAGAGACUGAAAUAGUGGGCUCAAGCAAACAGACAUUACAGGCCGAGUUGGCGCACAUUAAAAGCAUAAAUCAAGAGCUCAAAGAGAAGCUAGUUAUUAUGGUUGAAGAAAGUGCCAGGCUUGCAGAGAUCAUUGUGGCCAAAGAUGUAGAAAUUGCCUCUUUAUCUGAGGAAUGGGAGGUUGCAAUAGUUGAUCUAACAAGCUUCUUGACAGAUGGCUGCAGAUCACUAGACGAUGCAUAUCAGAAUAUUGAUAAUAUGAUUAGUUCAUUUCCUUACAGCAAUAAUUCUGUCAGCGAACAUGUGGAGAAGGCUAUGAAAGUUAGCAUUGAAAAGGAAAAAAUAAUCUUCAGGCUUCAAAUUGAGCUACAAGAUGCACAGCGAAUGGGCAGGGAAGUGAAAGAAAAGUUGCACAUCUUAAGAGGUGCAACACUUGCUAUCACUGAAGCUCAGCAAUUAUAUAAUGAUGCAAGUUCUCAGGAAGCAGAACGAGUAAACCAAAAGGAUUGCAAUGUGGAAUGGAAAAAUUGUGACUUGUCAGAAGCAGCAGAGCAUUCUCGUGAUGAACCUCUAUUCCUCGACAGCUUGAAUGACACGAGUGCACAGCGGACUCGUAGUGAAGAUGGAUCAGCAGUCAACAAAGCUAAUCCAGACUACCAGUCAAAGCUCGACGAUGUGUUAUGUCUCGUCGAGGAUAAGUCAAAUAAGGUUUUGGCCUUAUUUUCAAAUUUUGAGGAUGCUCAAGAAACCAUGAAAGAGGCUGACCUUAUGCUCUCGGCUUUGUUGAAGGCCAAUGAGGAGUUAAAGCUUGACAGAGAUAAUUGCCGCCAAGCAGUGGAAUCUUUAUUGGCGGAGAAAAGUUCUCUGGUCAAUGAGUUGCAGGAGGUUGAAGCGUCAAGUUUUUGUACAGCACAGAGUUACAACAAAUUAAAUCAGCAGAUGAAUGAAUGUACCAACGAGAUGACAAACAUUGCUACUCUAAUGAAGGGAUCUUUUCACCAUUUGCAAAGGAUUGCUACAAUGGAACUCUUUGAACUUUGCUCUGAAAUUAUUAAUAUUGGGCAGGACUUAAAGAGGUGGAUAAGUGAUUCAAGAUCUUAUCUGGUAAACAUUGAAUCACUUUUAGAAGAAAGAGGCAGUUCUUUAGUUCAGCAGCUCCAUCACCUUAAUGUGAAUGCUUAUACAUGCAUGUGUCAACAAGUUGAUUCAUGUGACCUGGGUGGCAGCAAUACUAUGUUUCUUCAUGAAACUCAAGCAAUCCCUGACAACUCUAGGAAGCAUAUUAUAUCUAUAACAGAUAUGGUGGAUGAAGGAAAGGACACGUCAUCCAUGCAUGUAGUUCCAAUGGGCAGUGCUGCUGAACUGGAAGUUUUUGAUGCAGACAGUGCAGACGAUAUGGCUGUUAUUAAGGACAUAAUUUUCAGUAUUGCUCAAAAGUGGGAUAUUUUCGUCAACAAAGUGUCCUGCAUUAAGAAUGCUGAGACAUAUCCAGGUGUUGCUUGUGAUGAACAAAGUUAUGCAAACCCUCUUGCUGCACUUGCAAAAUUAGAUAGCGAACAAAUACACUCAGCUGUUCCACAGCAAUGCAAGGAAAGCAUAGAAGAUCACUCAGGAGAGGAAGACAAUACUGCUCUUUUGAAUGAUGUUCAGUGUCUCAAGCAUCAUUUGGCGCAGUUAAUGAUUCCACUGUCUAAAUUUAUCAAUAAAGAAGACAUUAUGGGGGAUGGAACAGAAAAUGAGAAGCAGUUUGUUACUGUUCUGAAUAAGGUGCAAGAUAAUUUGAUUUUUGCUAUAGAUUUUUUUGGUUAUCUGUUACUAUCUGAGCAAGAAGGUUCUCAGAAUGCACCUUUGCUUAGCAGACUCCUUAAUGACAUUAGUACUAUUGAGAAGAAAGCUUUGACAUGUCAGAAAAUAUGCUUACGGGAUGGUGAUUCUCAGGCUGGUCACAGUACAGAGUACGCAUCACUAAGAAGAGACUUUGAGAGGAAAAGUGAUAUCGCUGAAGGAUUGUCUUUUGACUUGAAAUUAUUGCAAGAGUCUACCUCAUAUGCGAAGGACAUGAAAGAUAAAGCUGAUGAAGUGUCGAAUGCCCUUAGAAAGGUUCAACGAGAACUUGAGAUUAAAAAUUCUGAGACAGAAGACAUGUUGGCAAAACAGAAGACACUAGUGGAAGAACUGGCUGAAAAUGGUGCUGCACUCAUUGUUUUAAGAUCAGAGUUAGAGCAAUCUCAACUUUCAUCAUCUGCGCUAUCAAAGGAGAACAAUGAUCUGAGAGUGAUGCUGGAAGAGGAAACUGUGAAGACCAGUGAAAUAGUAGCUCUGUUGGAAGACAAAGCUAAGGUCAUAGAGGGAUUGGAGAGUGAAAUUAUAUUGCUUAAUUCUUCUGAAGAGGGACGUCUUAGGUCAGAUAUUGAAGAACUAAGUAAUAAUAUCAAAAUGUUAUGUAAUGAAAAUGGAAAGCUCAAAGCAGAGAUACUCAAGUUAAAUGACAAGCUUGAGAUGUCAAUGGCUUUAGCUGAGGAGAAUGAAGCUGCUGCUAUUGAAGCUCGGCAAGCUGCAGAGAUAAGUAAAAUCUACGCGGAAGAGAAAGAUGAGGAGGUUACAAUUCUUGAACAUUCUGUUGGGGAACUUGAAUCUACAAUAAUUGUUCUUGAGGAAGAGGUACGCAACCUUAAAGAGGAAGUAAGGAGCAACCAAGCGCACAAACAAUCCGAAGCUGAAUUUCAAGCAAUUGAAGAGAUGCUUACUGUAGAAAAUGCCUCAAAAUGUGAUGACAAUGUGGAACUGUGUCCAGGGAGAUGCCAACUAAAAAAGAGAUUGCGAGCUGAGAUUAUUGCACAUCAAGAUACUAGAAGGAAGAUUGAAGGACUCGUAAUGGAAGUAAAACGUAAAGAUGAGGAGAUAAGGCAGUGCAAAGAGCAUAUAGCUGAGCUGGUCCUGCAUUCAGAAGCACAAUCAUUGCUGUUUCAGGAGAAGUAUCAGGAAAUGGAGCACAUGGUUUCUAAACAGAACUUUGGUUCACAUGAAUCUAAUUCUGAGGCUGUCCAUACAAAAGUGGAAAAGCCUUCAGGGCGAACAAGAGGAUCUGGUUCACCUUUUAGGUGCAUAUCUAGCAUUGUUCAACAAAUGAACUCUGAGAAGGAUCAAGAAAUCUCUUUGGGCCGCCAGCGAAUUGAAGAACUUGAAGCGUUGCUUAGCGACAAACAGAAACAGAUAUGCCUGCUUACGUCAAGACUGGCAGCAGUGGAUAGCAUGACACAUGAUGUUAUAAGGGAGCUACUUGGCGUCAAAUUAGACAUGACAAACUAUGCUAAUUUGCUUGACCAAGAAGAAGUGCACAAGCUGUUAGUAGCAUCCCAGGAACAAAUCGAACAAUCGAAGGCGAAGGACGAGGAACUUGACGUCCUCAAAGAACAAUUCGGCCAUCUCAUUCAAGAAAGGGACAGCUUGCUUGAUGACAUGGACCAAAGGAAGGCGGACCUGCUGGAGACCCAGCUGCUCGUGGAACAGCUCGAACAGCGGGAGCAGAUGCUCGAGGCCCAGAACGAAAUGCUACAGAUGGAGAAAGACAACCUCCAGCAGAGGAUGAUGGAGAUGGACGAGACGAUCGAGCUGCUAGAAGGCUCAAAUCGAGUCAGAAUAGGAGAUAGCCAUAGCCAGCGUUCGGCCGGCAGCGAGUUCAGCAGGAGGCUGGCGCAGUCGGACAUGCUGGUGUCCCACGCGCGGCACGAGCGCUCCCGUAAUAACCGCGCGGCGGCCGCAGGGAGCUCGCGGCCGCGGCACGGCAGGCACCAUUGA